AAAAUACUUUUGACUGGUACUGUAUAUAUAUCAUUACAUGCUAAAUAUUAUGUUAAAUGUUUUGUUUUUUCGUUGCCCUAUGUGUGAACAGACCCUCACGCUUUGUGUGGUCACUGUUAUGUGUCUAUCUGAAACACUAUGAUGACUGUGUCUGGGGAGGAAGUGGAGACAUUCCUUAGGACUGUCAGGUAUCGGGCCUUCGUCCAGUCCACCUCAUUGUUUUGAGAAAUGGUCAUAUAAGGAGGGUAUACAAUGGCCAGACAAUGACAGAAAAGUGUAAAUAUACCAACACUGCCCUCUCUCCUCUUACUUUGAUUUGCACAGUCCCCUCCUCUCCCAUCCUGUCAGUCUCCUCCACCUGUCUCAUUCAUUUGUUACAUGGUGUGAUCCAUUUCCUCCCGGACCUCCCCUAUGCUAAAGACACUAGAGGCACCUACAGAGUACAGUUAUGUUUCAGUGUACAUAAAGGACUUUUGGCAGAUGGAACCUGUUAACGUCACAUUUGAAAUGAUGCAGACUUAGUCCCCAGCACUGUGAUGCAGAACUUCACAUUGUCACACUCGACAGAAAGCCGCAGCCUUAAUCCUUUGGUGUCUCCCCUAGUUUCCCUCCCACGUGGUCGUAGCAAACACACAGUAAAUAUACAUACGCGUUUUUAAGUUGACUGAAUUCAUUGUUUCUGUCAGCUACGUUUCAACUUGGAGCUCUUAGUUCGGUCUGGGUUGUAUUCAGUAGGGCACAAUGUUGAAAGUGUUUUAAAAGGUUAUGCAACAGAAAACAAUAUUGAAUGUUUCUUAUCGGACAGGUUUGGAUAGUACCUCCCCGUUUCGAAACCUUUCCUCCCGACUGAACAUGACCACGUUCAUUUCCCUAGUGUCUCCCUUAGUGCCAAUGUAUCAUCCUCUCAUCCAGUACCUACCCUCUGGGCACAGUUAUGACACAUCCAGCCACUGACGUGCCAGAUACACCGCAGUAUGCUAAACGUCCUCAUAGGAUGACUACACUACAUUGCUAAAGGACUGUGUGGGUGAAAGGCACAUAGCCACUGAUCGAUCAUAGUAACAUGGGUGGGUGUAUUGACCAAUCGUAGGCACAUGUGAGUGUUUUAGGCCAAUCGUCGUCAUUUGGGGAGGGUCUGUUUAUUUUGUCCUUUCUACCUCAUCUGAAUUGUUUUAAUUGAUGUUAAUUGUCUUUCCGAAAUAGGAAAAUAACAUGACCUGAAGUGCCAGGCUCAGUUCAUCUGUAUUUUUGUGGAAAUGUUGGUAGAUUUUAUUUCCUUAUUUUUUGGGGUUGUUUUUUUGCCAACCGAACAAUUAUAGUCCAAACACUCCUUACUCCCUCAACUAUACCCUGUGGUAUUAUUGUGUAAAUGUGCAUAGUUUCUUAUCUUUCCCAACAGUGUAAGAACUUACGUUCCUUCCAAGUCAAUGUCUAUGAAGCUGCAAGGCUUUUUAAUAAUACUAAGAGUGAGAAUAUUAAUUACAAGCCCUAUGUAGAUGUUUUCUAUGUUAAAGUUUACAAAGACACUACCGUUGCUCUAUUGAAGGCAGCACUGAGGGCAACCUGCAUAACUUUGUGUUGACUGCAGCAUCAUUGUAUUUAUGAGACAAUGAACCGUUAAAAUGUGUCUGUAAAAGUUUGAAUGGUUUAUCUGUAUGUGAUAUAAACAUAGUUCAGUGAUGGGAGGAGUAGUACGGCAAGAGGAUGAUUGAACUAUGACACACUACAGAAAGCACCAGGGUUGUGUUCAGUAGGGUACAAAGUAGCAAAAUGUUUUGCGAAGGGGGUAAAAAAAAUUGUUCUUACUGGUCAAGUUCAGGUAGUAGGCUACCUCCCAGUUUCACUGUUUUGUUUUCUCCCUACUGAACCAGACCACAACCAGACUCGUGUUGCCCCUGUUAAAUAAUAUUUCUAUAUGUUUUAAUGAAUUAGAAAUUAUGCAAUCUGUAUUUAGCAAUGACAGAGAAAGAUUUACACAAAUAAAUGAAUGACAAACUCAAACUGAAAAUAGGACAUUAAACUGCCUGACAGAGUUCCCCUAUUGCAUAACUUUGAAUUAUUUGUUUAAGUCAAUACUGCAGAUUGGGAAGGGUAUGUGGACAUGCACCUGGCACCUCUCAUUUUCCCUUUCUAGUUUUCUUGAACUCUGUUGUCAAUACUGUUUGGAUUUCUUGAAAGGAAACAAAUAAUUGAUGUGCUUUCUGUUGGUCUUUGGCUCUUUAAUGUUGUCCUCUGGUAUGGCACUGAUGGGCUUGCCUUGAAGAGAAGAGACUGUCUCCAUUUCAUAGAGGGCCAUGAUCAUAUGAUACCGUUUUGUCUAGUGGAGUAUAGGCCAGUCAGGUGAAGCAACUUUCGCCCUUGGACCAACGAAUACUUGGAUUUUAAUGAGUGAUUUUAAAAUGGUGUCCUUUCACAAACAUUUUUCAACGUUGAAUCCCUUUUCUGCACCUUAUCUCUUAUAUUGCCUCUGUUACUGAUGAUAGUUUUUUUUAUGCCUCAUCAUCAUUCAUGCCAAACUGUUUUCAUUCUCCUGUAUUUUUGUACCAGGUAAUUCCACAGAAACUGAAUUACGCUGAGACUCUGGUUUAAAAAAAAUAAAAAAAAUAUGCCAAACAAAAAACAUUUAUUUAAAAGUUUAAUAAAAAACCAUACAACUAUGCACAAUGACUAAUUUGAACAGUAAAUUACAAACAAAAAAAUAACAUUUCCUGGAAAAACUAUCUGCACAGUUCUUCCUGUAAAUAUUUUUUGUAAAAAUGUAUAAGUAGUCAUUGUGCAUAGAGGUUGUAUGGUUAAACUUUGAAAUUAAUGUUUUUUUGUUUGGUAUACAUUUUUAAAGUGAAAUCUCAGCGUAAUUCCAUUACAUGAAAUUGCCCGAUCCCAAUUACAAUUUUCCUUUCGUGCCAUCCCUUUUCUUUUGAAGAGGACAGGAGUGGGUGAAAAUAUAAAUAAUUGAUUUUAAGAUGUUCCAUUGUGAUAUAACACUAUUAUUUGGAGUUCACAUUUUACCUUUUAUUUUCUGUAGCAUGUAAUGUGUUAAUAUCCUUAGUAAAUAAAAACCUAUUACAAUUGUG